GUGUGUAAAAAGAUUACUUCUCUUAACUUCGGUAGACUUGAAAGCAAUAUGUAUUAAUUAUGAAAAUUGAUCAUAUCACUAUAAAAGUAUGCCCCUAUAUAACAUAAUACAAGGUGUUCAAAAGAAAGUCGCUCCGAUUCAGAGGUGCACACAGUGAACGAGAUAUGUCAAUCAGUAGACAGGCUCUUAAAUAAAAGUUUAAGUUAGUAAACCAACUUCCUGACCUAGUAAAACAAUAUAUUCGCCAUGAAAUGGGAUUUUAACAUUCAUUUUUGUAGAUCAUUAUUUUAUAUGGAAUUCGGCAAUCGAACCUUUCAAAACAAUUUGUUUGAAAGACAAGUAUUGAAUGUUUGCCUGCAGUUUCUAGUGUGAGGGUUAAUUUCGUGGAAAAAAUACCGCAAACACUGUUACCCACCUGAAAAUAUUGAAAGGACAGAAGGUUUUGAAGGCCUUAAUACACCAUACACAAUUAGAUCAUAGCCUUGCGCUAUUUACGAAAGAGGAAUUUAGGACAGCUGAUGUUCCUGACAACAAUUCAUCAGCACUGAGCGAUCACAUAAUGAUGGAUUUCAUUGGACUCAUGAAUUCACUAAAGGACUUGGAGCAGUGAGACUGGCUUCUGUGGUAGAAGCAGCAGCAAUGGCUUUUCAAAAUACUGUAGAGGAAGUUCCCAGGAACAAACAAUUUA